UAGAGUUUUGAACCUGGCUCAGGACGAACGCUGGCGGCGUGCCUAAUACAUGCAAGUCGAGCGGACAGAAGGGAGCUUGCUCCCGGAUGUUAGCGGCGGACGGGUGAGUAACACGUGGGUAACCUGCCUGUAAGACUGGGAUAACUCCGGGAAACCGGAGCUAAUACCGGAUAGUUCCUUGAACCGCAUGGUUCAAGGAUGAAAGACGGUUUCGGCUGUCACUUACAGAUGGACCCGCGGCGCAUUAGCUAGUUGGUGGGGUAAUGGCUCACCAAGGCGACGAUGCGUAGCCGACCUGAGAGGGUGAUCGGCCACACUGGGACUGAGACACGGCCCAGACUCCUACGGGAGGCAGCAGUAGGGAAUCUUCCGCAAUGGACGAAAGUCUGACGGAGCAACGCCGCGUGAGUGAUGAAGGUUUUCGGAUCGUAAAGCUCUGUUGUUAGGGAAGAACAAGUGCGAGAGUAACUGCUCGCACCUUGACGGUACCUAACCAGAAAGCCACGGCUAACUACGUGCCAGCAGCCGCGGUAAUACGUAGGUGGCAAGCGUUGUCCGGAAUUAUUGGGCGUAAAGGGCUCGCAGGCGGUUUCUUAAGUCUGAUGUGAAAGCCCCCGGCUCAACCGGGGAGGGUCAUUGGAAACUGGGAAACUUGAGUGCAGAAGAGGAGAGUGGAAUUCCACGUGUAGCGGUGAAAUGCGAUAGAGAUGUGGAGGAACACCAGUGGCGAAGGCGACUCUCUGGUCUGUAACUGACGCUGAGGAGCGAAAGCGUGGGGAGCGAACAGGAUUAGAUACCCUGGUAGUCCACGCCGUAAACGAUGAGUGCUAAGUGUUAGGGGGUUUCCGCCCCUUAGUGCUGCAGCUAACGCAUUAAGCACUCCGCCUGGGGAGUACGGUCGCAAGACUGAAACUCAAAGGAAUUGACGGGGGCCCGCACAAGCGGUGGAGCAUGUGGUUUAAUUCGAAGCAACGCGAAGAACCUUACCAGGUCUUGACAUCCUCUGACAACCCUAGAGAUAGGGCUUUCCCUUCGGGGACAGAGUGACAGGUGGUGCAUGGUUGUCGUCAGCUCGUGUCGUGAGAUGUUGGGUUAAGUCCCGCAACGAGCGCAACCCUUGAUCUUAGUUGCCAGCAUUUAGUUGGGCACUCUAAGGUGACUGCCGGUGACAAACCGGAGGAAGGUGGGGAUGACGUCAAAUCAUCAUGCCCCUUAUGACCUGGGCUACACACGUGCUACAAUGGACAGAACAAAGGGCUGCGAGACCGCAAGGUUUAGCCAAUCCCAUAAAUCUGUUCUCAGUUCGGAUCGCAGUCUGCAACUCGACUGCGUGAAGCUGGAAUCGCUAGUAAUCGCGGAUCACAUGCCCGGGGGGAAAUCCUUUCCCGGGCCUUGUACACACCGCCCGUCACACCACGAGAGUUUGCAACACCCGAAGUCGGUGAGGUAACCUUUAUGGAGCCAGCCGCCGAAGGUGGGGCAGAUGAUUGGGGGUGAAGUCGUAACAAGGUAGCCGUAUCGGAA
rnacentral:rRNA from 1 species